UACGAAGGGGGCAAGCGUUGUUCGGAAUUACUGGGCGUAAAGCGUGCGUAGGCGGUUCUCCAAGUCCGUUGUGAAAGCCCCGGGCUCAACCUGGGAAUGGCAGUGGAAACUAGGGGACUGGAAUCUGGCAGAGGGGGGUGGAAUGCCGCGUGUAGCAGUGAAAUGCGUAGAGAUGCGGCGGAACACCGAUGGCGAAGGCAGCCCCCUGGGCUGAGAUUGACGCUCAGGCACGAAAGCGUGGGGAGCAAACAGG
rnacentral:rRNA from 1 species